rnacentral:ribozyme from 13 species
AUAUCAAAAGAUUGAACAAAAGAAGGAGUAGGAAGACGAGCAAAAGAAGCUUCUCCAGAAAAUCGAGGAAAUACUGUUGCAACUGGUGGGCCCACAACCCCUUCUUUUGUUGUUUCAUAAUAACUUUCUUUUUCUUUUUCUUUUUCUUUUUCUUCUUCGAUAGCAUUGU